rnacentral:tRNA from 1 species
CAGUGGUAUAGUUUAUUUAAAAUAUUAUUUUUGGGGAAUAAAGAUCUCUUUUGAGUUUGCUGG